rnacentral:tRNA from 1 species
GCUCAGAUGGUGGAAUUGGUAGACACGCCGGUCUUAGAAACCGGUGCCGUGAGGCAUGAGAGUUCAAGUCUCUCUCUGAGCACCA